ACUAUACUCUCUCCGUUCCAUAAUUCUUGUCGAAAUAUUACAUGUAUCUAGACAUGUUUUAGGAAUAGCUACAUCCAUUUUUAGGCAAAUUUGAGACAAGAAUUAUGGAACGGAGAGAGUAUUUC
rfam:Brachypodium distachyon strain Bd21 chromosome 4, whole genome shotgun sequence.